ensembl:misc_RNA 7SK 7SK RNA
GCACGUGAGGAUGAUCUAGCUGCGAUAUCUGUCACCCCGUUGAUCGCCAGGGUUGAUUCGGCUGAUCUGGCUGGUUAGGCGGGUCUCCCCUUCCUACCUCACCGCUCCGUGUCCCUCCCUCCCCUCCGGGAGCUGCGCUGUACACUCGUUGGUAGAAGACGACCAACCCCGACAGAGGAGGCCCAUUUCCUCCGUCAAGGGUCUAUAAGUAGCUGUGUUCUCCUGCUAGAACCUCCAAACAAGCUCUCACAACCAAAUCCCGCUUAAAACAUUUUCUAAUCACUUGGUUUUGCUAAGUUUUA